rnacentral:rRNA from 1 species
CCUACGGGAGGCUGCAGUGGGGAAUAUUGCACAAUGGGCGCAAGCCUGAUGCAGCCAUGCCGCGUGUGUGAAGAAGGCCUUCGGGUUGUAAAGCACUUUCAGCGGGGAGGAAGGCGGUGAGGUUAAUAACCUCAUCGAUUGACGUUACCCGCAGAAGAAGCUCCGGCUAACUCCGUGCCAGCAGCCGCGGUAAUACGGAGGGUGCAAGCGUUAAUCGGAAUUACUGGGCGUAAAGCGCACGCAGGCGGUCUGUCAAGUCGGAUGUGAAAUCCCCGGGCUCAACCUGGGAACUGCAUUCGAAACUGGCAGGCUAGAGUCUUGUAGAGGGGGGUAGAAUUCCAGGUGUAGCGGUGAAAUGCGUAGAGAUCUGGAGGAAUACCGGUGGCGAAGGCGGCCCCCUGGACAAAGACUGACGCUCAGGUGCGAAAGCGUGGGGAGCAAACAGGAUUAGAUACCCGGGUAGUC